rnacentral:rRNA from 1 species
CCUACGGGUGGCAGCAGUGAGGAAUAUUGGUCAAUGGACGAGAGCCUGAACCAGCCAAGUAGCGUGAAGGAUGACUGCCCUAUGGGUUGUAAACUUCUUUUAUAUGGGAAUAAAAUGUUCCACGUGUGGGAUUUUGUAUGUACCAUCUGAAUAAGGAUCGGCUAACUCCGUGCCAGCAGCCGCGGUAAUACGGAGGAUCCGAGCGUUAUCCGGAUUUCUUGGGUUUAAAGGGAGCGUAGGUGGAUUGUUAAGUCAGUUGUGAAAGUUUGCGGCUCAACCGUAAAAUUGCAGUUGAAACUGGCAGUCUUGAGUACAGUAGAGGUGGGCGGAAUUCGUGGUGUAGCGGUGAAAUGCUUAGAUAUCACGAAGAACUCCGAUUGCGAAGGCAGCUCACUGGACUGCCACUGACACUGAGGCUCGAAAGUGUGGGUAUCAAACAGGAUUAGAUACCCCAGUAGUC